GUGCCUGGUGAUGAAAUCUACCGCCCCAGUCUGAAUACUGUGACUGAUUGGUUUCUCUGAAGGCUU
rnacentral:snoRNA from 1 species